AAGAAAGGAAAGCCAGAGGAGGAGUGAAGUAAUGUACGGGGAGCAUUGCCAGGAUUGGAAGGAUGGAAGACUCUGCCAGAUAUAAGACCUUCAGCCUACUCCAUCCAAGGCAUCCAUCUGUCUUCAGAAGAGAUUAGAAUUUUGUUCUGAAGCCAUGCAAAGAGUAAGACCAAGUGCUAACAUCCAAUUUGCAUGUGCCGGGAGAGAAAAUUCUUCAUGGAUCUCUGGUGCUCCUACACAUCUCACUGGUAUUCCUUUCCACCAUGAGUUGACCAAAUUCUUC
rnacentral:lncRNA from 10 species